rnacentral:rRNA from 1 species
AUUGAACGCUGGCGGCAUGCUUUACACAUGCAAGUCGAACGGCAGCACGGGGGCAACCCUGGUGGCGAGUGGCGAACGGGUGAGUAAUACAUCGGAACGUGCCCGGUCGUGGGGGAUAACGUAGCGAAGGUUACGCUAAUACCGCAUACGAUCUGAGGAUGAAAGCGGGGGACCUUCGGGCCUCGCGCGAUCGGAGCGGCCGAUGUCAGAUUAGGUAGUUGGUGGGGUAAAGGCCUACCAAGCCGACGAUCUGUAGCUGGUCUGAGAGGACGACCAGCCACACUGGGACUGAGACACGGCCCAGACUCCUACGGGAGGCAGCAGUGGGGAAUUUUGGACAAUGGGCGCAAGCCUGAUCCAGCCAUUCCGCGUGCAGGACGAAGGCCUUCGGGUUGUAAACUGCUUUUGUAUGGAACGAAAAGGCUCUGGCUAAUACCUGGGGCUCAUGACGGUACCGUAAGAAUAAGCACCGGCUAACUACGUG